rnacentral:rRNA from 1 species
UACGAACUGUGCGAACGUUAUUCGGAAUCACUGGGCUUACAGGGUGCGUAGGCGGCUUGUCAAGUAGGGUGUGAAAGCCCCCGGCUCAACCGGGGAAUUGCGCCCUAAACUGGCGAGCUAGAGUGAGAUAGGGGUGUGUGGAACUUCCGGUGGAGCGGUGAAAUGUGUUGAUAUCGGAAGGAACGCCGGUGGCGAAAGCGACACACUGGAUCUUGUCUGACGCUGAGGCACGAAAGCCAGGGGAGCGGACGGG